AAUGCAAGUCGAGGGGCAUCGCAGGAUAGCAAUACUGGGCGGCGCACCGGCAAACGGGUGCGGAACACGUACGCAACCUUCCUUCAAGAGAUGGAUAGCCCGAAGAAAUUCGGAUUAAUACAUCGUAAAAUCACAGAGUGGCAUCACUUCAUGAUUAAAGAAUUUCGCUUGAAGAUGGGCGUGCGCCUGAUUAGGUAGUUGGUGAGGUAACGGCUCACCAAGCCGACGAUCAGUAACUGGCGUGAGAGCGCGACCAGUCACACGGG
rnacentral:rRNA from 1 species